rnacentral:pre_miRNA from 1 species
CCUCCGUACCACAUGUAUUUUUGCAUAUUUGACCUUUUAUCGUCUAUUUUAUUUAAAAAGUUAUAUAAUUACUGUUUUUUUAUUAUUAAAUAAUAAAAUAUAAAUAGUACUUUAUGUGUGAAUAUGUUUUAAUUUUUUUCAUAAAAUUUUCAAAUAAAACGAACCGUCAAACAUUGGACAAGAAAAUUCAUGAAUGCAGUUACA